GACGAACGCUGGCGGCGUGCCUAAUACAUGCAAGUCGAGCGGACCGAAUGGAAGCUUGCUUCUGUUCGGUUAGCGGCGGACGGGUGAGUAACACGUGGGUAACCUGCCCGUAAGACCGGGAUAACUCCGGGAAACCGGGGCUAAUACCGGAUAACACCGAAGACCGCAUGGUCUUUGGUUGAAAGGUGGCUUUUGCUACCACUUACGGAUGGGCCCGCGGCGCAUUAGCUAGUUGGUGAGGUAACGGCUCACCAAGGCGACGAUGCGUAGCCGGCCUGAGAGGGUGACGGGCCACGCUGGGACGGAGACACGGCCCAGAGUCCUACGGGAGGCAGCAGUAGGGAAUCUUCCGCAAUGGACGAAAGUCUGACGGAGCGACGCCGCGUGAGCGAAGAAGGUCUUCGGAUCGUAAAGCUCUGUUGUUAGGGAAGAAGAAGUACCGUUCGAAUAGGGCGGUACGGUGACGGUACCUAACGAGAAAGCCCCGGCUAACUACGUGCCAGCCGCCGCAGUAACAC
rnacentral:rRNA from 1 species